rnacentral:rRNA from 1 species
CCUACGGGAGGCAGCAGUGAGGAAUAUUGGUCAAUGGGCGGGAGCCUGAACCAGCCAAGCCGCGUGAGGGAAGAAGGUACAGCGUAUCGUAAACCUCUUUUGUCAGGGAACAAAGGCGGGGACUAGUCCCCGGAUGAGGGUACAUGAAGAAAAAGCAUCGGCUAACUCCGUGCCAGCAGCCGCGGUAAUACGGAGGAUGCGAGCGUUAUCGGGAUUUAUGGGGUUAAAAGGGUGCGCAGGCGGCGUGUUAAGUCAGCGGUAAAAGCCCGGGGCUCAACCCCGGCGAGCCGUUGAAGCUGGGGGGCUGGAGUUGGAGAGAAGUACGCGGAAUGCGCGGUGUAGCGGUGAAAUGCUUAGAGAUCGCGCAGAACCCCGAUUGCGAAGGCAGCGUACCGGCUCCACACUGACGCUGAGGCACGAAAGCGUGGGUAUCGAACAGGAUUAGAUACCCUUGUAGUC